CUUCUACAGAAAUAAACAGAGCAAUUUACCCUUAUUCUUUUUCAACCCAUAAGAGGAUCUGUGUAUUCUACAUUCUUCAAGACCUGGAAGCUUAUCUAUACAUAUAGAUAAGAUCUCAUAAAGCGUAAGGCGGUGUAACCUAAGGUGCUGGAGGAAGGAGUCAGUAGAUACCUUAGAAUGGCCCCUUUCAUCCUGAUCACAAGGCGUGGGACAUUAACAUGGAUCUAUGCUCUUCUCCAGCAGCUGGACCCAGGGUAACUUCUGAGAAAUGCUGACUUCUGCACUGACUUUAUGCAGAGAUGAAAGAAAUGUGUGUGUGUCUUAAAAGCAGUGAUUAAAGAUUUGUCGGACUUUC